CGCCUGCAGAAGUUGAAAGCCUCGAGGG
rnacentral:piRNA from 1 species